GAUGAACGCUGGCGGCGUGCUUAACACAUGCAAGUCGAACGAAGCACUUUAUUUGAUUUCCUUCGGGACUGAUUAUUUUGUGACUGAGUGGCGGACGGGUGAGUAACGCGUGGGUAACCUGCCUUGUACAGGGGGAUAACAGUUGGAAACGGCUGCUAAUACCGCAUAAGCGCACGGCAUCGCAUGAUGCAGUGUGAAAAACUCCGGUGGUAUAAGAUGGACCCGCGUUGGAUUAGCUAGUUGGUGAGGUAACGGCCCACCAAGGCGACGAUCCAUAGCCGACCUGAGAGGGUGACCGGCCACAUUGGGACUGAGACACGGCCCAAACUCCUACGGGAGGCAGCAGUGGGGAAUAUUGCGCAAUGGGCGAAAGCCUGAUGCAGCGACGCCGCGUGAGCGAAGAAGUAUUUCGGUAUGUAAAGCUCUAUCAGCAGGGAAGAUAAUGACGGUACCUGACUAAGAAGCACCGGCUAAAUACGUG
rnacentral:rRNA from 1 species